CAAUAAUCUACCCUUAGAUUCAUAAUAACCUCGGGAAACUGAGGCUAAGGAUGAAUAGGAGGAAAUCACUGGAAGGUUUUUCCUCUGAAACGUAAGGUCUAAGGAUGAGUUGGCGGCCGAUUAGGUUGUUGGUGGUGUAAAGGACCACCAAGCCAAAGAUCGGUAGGGGUCUUGAAAGAGAUCGCCUCGAGAAGGGCACUGAGACACUGGCCCUAGCCCCACGGGGUGCAGCAGGCGCGAAACCUUUACACUGUACGCAAGUACGAUAAGGGAACUCUAAGUGCUUUGCUUAUGCAAAGCUUUUGCCACGUUUAAAACGCUUGGCGAAUAAGUGGUGGGCAAGACUGGUGCCAGCCGCCGCGGUAACACCAGCUCCACGAGUGGGAACCUCGUUUACUGGGUCUAAAGCGUCCGUAGCCGGUUUUGUAAGUCUCUUGUGAAAUCAUUGAGCUUAACUCAAUGGUGUGCUUGAGAUACUGCUUAACUAGGAACUGGGAGGAGUCAGAAGUAUUCCAUGGGGAGCGGUAAAAUGCUAUAAUCCAUGGAGGACUACCUGUGGCGCAGGCGUCUGACUAGAACAGAUUUGACGGUGAGGGACGAAAGCUAGGGGAGCAAUCCGGAUUAGAUACCCGAGUAGUCCUAGCCGUAAACACUGCGAGUUAGGUGUUGCAUAUUCUUCGUGAAUGUGCAGUGUCGUAAUGAAGAUGUUAAACUCGCCACCUGGGAAGUAUGGUCGCAAGGCUGAAACU
rnacentral:rRNA from 1 species